UGCUCCCUAAUCACAAGCCUUGAAGAACGGCAAACUGUUCCCUUGGCAAUGAGGCAGGAGUGACCUUGUUCUAGCGCCUAUGUUUGGGAAACUUAUUUGGCUGAUUUGAUUGUACCCUCGCAGCUGGUGUUCACGCGCUCAAGAGAUGGGUUCGUUAUCUUAUGUGCAUGUAUACUGCCUGGCCUUUUUAUGCGCAGGAAUGUAACCACUAAGAAGUGUUGUAAACAAAGUAAGUAAAGAAUAAAAGCCCCAGGAAAAGUUCCUGGAGGUAGAGGGGCUUUUCGGCUACCACAGACCUGGCGUUCUGUUUCCUUUCCUGCGUCGUCACCACAGCUGGUGACCCCGACGUGAUAACCCUCUACUCACCGGCUGGAUAUGCCGAGCGCGCCCGCGGCUGUUUGCCGCCCCUUAUUCGUGAGUAUGGGGGGCGAACUUUCCAGUGCCCAGAAAGGAGCACACAAGAGAGUUCAAGAUUACACGGCAGCGAUCAUGCAUCGUUGUCCUGGUCGCUCAUAUUGAGGACCCCCUAAGGGAAAUAGAUCGCCAGUGCCCCUGGUAUCCGGACUGCGGGUCGGUAUGGCUUCUUGACUGGAAAACAGGUUGGAAACUUUGAGGGCAUAGAGGAAGGAAAGGAGUAAGUAAUUAUAGGCAUGGGGAUUUCAAAUCCCCAGGAUGAUAAUUGGAAUGGUAAAAUGUGUAUGAGACAGAGUUUUUGUACCAAGGUGCAAAGCUCUCCUUUAUUCUGCAGAAUAAAGCAACUCCUCCUUAUCCCUGUCUGGCUGUUAUUGGCUCUCAGCUAGGUGGACCCGAUAUUUCGGUAACAGUUUCUGGUGACUCCGCCGGGACUCUCCUGGCUCGGACAUUGGACUCCAGACGGCUGCGGUGAACUGGGAAUGGCGCCAACGGGGUGUUUCGCCCCUUUUCUCUGCUUCACCGCAGCCCCUGGGGUUCGUGCUCCGAUAAGAUAAAAGAAGUGCUACCCAAAGACCCUAGCAGCCCUGCCAUUUAUUGAAACAAGGAAACUGAGUCUAUGUAAAGUCCAUCAACGAAAGACUGCUUUGGCUCCAUGCUGGAAAGGCCCUUUCCAAGUCCUGUUAACCACCAACACCGCUGUGAAGUGCCAAGGACUACCUGCCUGGACCUAUGCUUCUCAUUGUAAAAAGACCCCUCCACCUCGGGAGGACUCUCCGACCGAUGAUAAGCCUAUUUCUCCUUCUAGCUCUGCUGUGUCUUCUGGACAGCAGGAAAAAAAAAAAAAAAAAAAAAAGACAAGGUGAAGUGCUAGUAACCUCUCCCUUGUCCACUGACAGACCUACUGUGCCUCUAGAUUUUUCUAGAAGAAGCAAAACCAUUACAGGGUGAUGUGCUAGUAACCUCUCCCCUGUAUGAUGCUAAACCACACUGUUUCAAGAGAAGAGAAGAAGGAACACUUGCUUCAUUGAAACCACAAAGUCCAGGGAUUCCUGACUACAAGAGACAUUAAGAACUGACCCUGGUGAAGAAACAAAAAAUUAUACACUGGCAGGAAGAAACUUGUGGAACCCAUUCUUGGGAACGUGGUAUUGAUUAGAUUUUAAGGUUUAUUCUACAGGCUGCGCCCUGUGUUUUGGAUAAGUCCUUCAGUAUGUAUUGCCCCCCCUAAUUAGAUUUUAAAUGAUAAGUACCAAAAGCACCUUGUUGCUAUUGCCCCUGCCAUCUCCUCCAUCACACUAUUACCCCUGUAACACAUCCAAAUACAGACAAUGCUAUAUAUUUGAUAAAACCAAUGGCCAAGACCUUCACACUUUAGUGACCAGCGAACCCCAAGAAUUAAUAAUUGCAAUUGAUGGGCUCUAUAGCGAAUGUUCCUGGAAUUUGCACUGUGUUAAAUGAGAGAGGCCCUUAUUGUUAUUUAGUCACCCAAUUAGUGAACCAUUAAACGAAAACCCCGAUACAGGCUGGAGUUGGUGAGUUACAUGUUAUCUCCGCCCUUAGUUCAAUAACCCAGAAGUUGCUCACAGAGAUGGUAUUGAAUAUCACUGAGGCUGGGAAGGCAUUGCAGUGGGAUCUAGCAUGUUCAGACAUUCAGGAUUUCCGGAAUGACUAGCUAAUGGCCAUUCGAAAUGAUCUAGAGCAUCAGGCUUGGCCCACUGCCCUUACAGACACAUCAGGAGUACCAUCUGAUCUGUGGCAUGAAGACAUACUUGGAGACUUUCUGGAUGGAAGUGCGGACGUUCUCAAUGCUCCUUCCACGCAUAUGGACCGGUUGAGGGGGUGUGGGCUCCCACAUACCGAAUCCUGCCGGGUCCAUAGGGAGGAUGCAUGUGGGAUUGGGUAAUUUACCAAGACAUCUGGGAAAUUAGACUACCUGGUAUGCCCAAUUGAUUUUAGUAAGUGCUCCGGAGAUUACAUCUGACAUUUGGAUGGGGUUAGGGAGUCAAUGGACAUUUUGGCCGUUAGGACCCCCACAGCUUCAGUGUAUCCGUAAACUGAAGCCAGGAGAAGUUGUCACUGUUCAUGAUUGCGUUUGCUGGGAGGGUAGGGGACAAAGAACUACCCUGACAGGACACUUACUCUUUUAAGCUAAUGAUAGCUGUGUGUAUGUUAAAGCCUCCACAUUGCAAGACAUACAUUUUAAUCUCAUUACCACUGCAGGCAAUCAUAUUAUUUACUGGCCUGCAGAUAGAGUUUUUCAAGUAGCCCUUAGAUUCCAAAUACCCUUUAAUUGGACUAGUUUAGUACCUGAUAGAUUUCAGAAUUUGUUUUCACUGUUACCAGAGAUUCAGAAAAUCUCUGAAGUACAAGGGCAAAUUCACAUGCUUUAAAAUAUAUAUUAAGUUGAAAAGUAUGCUUUCCAGACAGCUUAUAGAGUAUCCAUUUUAUUUACUAAGUAGGAUGUAUUGUGCUUUAUGAUUAAGAUUGUACAACAGUCCCAUUAUAUUAUUGUUAUGGGAAUGUUAUUGCUUGUGUUGCUAUUAGUUAUCUUAGGAUUAUGUUAUCAUUGUUGUAAAAGACGUAAUAAUAGUAAUACCUUUCAUGUUUAUGCUAAUCAUGCAUUGUCAUUACAUCCAAUCAGAACCCCUAAGAUUGAAGCAUCUGAUGUAGAAUUUGAAGUCCAGGGCUUAAUGCAAAUAGAGAUUUAAGAAUGUUUGUUGUACUAGAAGUACAAAAAGGGCGGGGGUCGUGGAAGCAGAGAAAGAACUGUCAGAAAAGAACUGCUAUGCAUGACAGUUUGUUAGCAAGAGUCAGGCUAACUGUAACCCUGAUAACGCGAGAUUUGUAGAAGCGAGGAUUGUGUGAGGCGGGUGAGAAAGUACUGUGUGAGAAGUUAUUGUGACCUUGUAUAGAUAAGGUGUAGAAAACCUUGUGUAGAUAAGGUCUAGAAAAUAUUGUAUGUUGGCAAGAGUCAAAACAAGUAAGGAAUUAAGAUAUCAAGAUGGCCUAUGUAUAACGAAAUGCAGCUGUCCCUCAUUAUUUUUUUUGUAAUGAAAGGUAUAAAUGCAAAGUUUGUUAAGUACCUGCCUUGUUCCUGUUUGCAAACCAUUCAAUUUGCAAUAAUAGAGUAUUGAUUAGGUACAGCUUUAUACCCCCUUUGUAGCAAAUUAUACUAAUAAUACUUGUGCCAAAGUAGUUAAUUGUUUUACUUACAAACCCCAUGGGGGGUGUUUGGCAACUGGUCAAGCCUUAUGGGAUUGGCGUUUUGCUUUGCUGUUUUGUUUAGUGUAUACCCAAUCUAGUGGCAUUGUGUAUGCUACCCUGCGAGAGCGCUUUGUUUACACACCGCAUCUAUAAAAUAAAAUAGGGGGGGAUGUAGGAAUGUGUUGCUCCCUAAUCACAAGCCUUGAAGAACGGCAAACUGUUCCCUUGGCAAUGAGGCAGGAGUGACCUUGUUCUAGCGCCUAUGUUUGGGAAACUUAUUUGGCUGAUUUGAUUGUUUCCUCGCAGCUGGUGUUCACGCGCUCAAGAGAUGGGUUUGUUAUCUUAUGUGCAUGUAUACUGCCUGGCCUUUUUAUGCGCAGGAAUGUAACCACUAAGAAGUGUUGUAAACAAAGUAAGUAAAGAAUAAAAGCCCCAGGAAAAGUUCCUGGAGGUAGAGGGGCUUUUCGGCUACCACA